GAUUCUGCCGACCGUUCAGGUUACAAUGCGCCUGGUGGGUACCAAGGGCGUGUAAAUGAAGCCGGUCAAGGUUUCCAAAACCCACAAGAGCGCAGGAGUUUCUCGCAAGGACAGGCAGGAGAUCUCAGGCCUGGUGGCCCUUCUGCACCUGGAAACUAUGGUCAACCGCCUGCACCUGGAAACUAUGGUCAACCGCCUGCACCUGGAAACUAUGGUCAACCGCCUGCACCUGGAAACUAUGGUCAACCGCCUGCACCUGGAAACUACGGUCAACCGCCUGCACCUGGAUCCUACGGGAAGCCAGCUUAUGGGCAACCGUCUGGAUCGAGAUAUCCUGGAGGUAACCUAGGGGGUCCUGCUUAUGGUGGAGACAACAGACAGGGUGCAGCACCUGCAUAUGGGGGAGAUAACUCACAAGGGGCUUCCGAUCAG
rnacentral:lncRNA from 1 species